rnacentral:lncRNA from 1 species
ACUAACAGGUCCACCCGAAGUCCCACAACUCAACCACAUUAUGAGAAUCACCACUGGUUAUAGAUGCAUGACCAACUAUCUUUGCAUCUAAGUUUAGGAACAUACCUCACAUCGUGUAAAGAAACUCACGAUUGUCAAACUUCGUAAGACAAACUGAACCCAUACCUUGAAACUUCAAGCUUUCCCGUUUUCAAGAUGAGCAACUCCACCUUCAACUAACUCUAGAGUCUCAAAGUAUUCAUUCUUUGAACACAUGUGAUAGGAGCAUCAAAAGUCCAUGACUCAACACUCCACUGAAUCUCAACUUCCACUAGAACCUCCACAUAAUAAAGUUGUUGUUUCAGAAGUAACCCGAGUAUUAUUACCACCGCCUCUCCAGG